rnacentral:rRNA from 1 species
GAUCAAGCGACUAAGUGCAUCUGGUGGAUGCCUUGGCGAUCAUAGGCGAUGAAGGACGUGUAAGCCUGCGAAAAGCGCGGGGGAGCUGGCAAUAGAGCAUUGAUCCCGCGAUGUCCGAAUGGGGAAACCCACCUCUUUUGAGGUAUCCUUGGCUGAAUCCAUAGGCCAGCGGAGGCGAACCCGGCGAACUGAAACAUCUAAGUAGCCGGAGGAAAAGAAAUCAACCGAGAUUCCGCAAGUAGUGGCGAGCGAACGCGGAAGAGCCUGUACGUGAUAGCAGUCGUGUUAGAAGAACGGU